AACGAACGCUGGCGGCGCGUUUUAAGCAUGCAAGUCGGACGGCAAGCACUGUAGCAAUAUGGUGCCGAGAGUGGCGAACGGGUGAGUAACACGUAGGUGAUCUACCUCUGGAUGGGGGAUAGCCCGUGGAAACACGGGGUAAUACCGCAUGAGGCCUUGAGGGUAAAGCCUUGAGGUGAAAGGUGCAAUUGCACCGUCUGGGGAUGAGCCUGCGGUCCAUUAGUUAGUUGGCGGGGUAAAGGCCCACCAAGACUCCGAUGGAUAGCCGGCCUGAGAGGGUGUACGGCCACACUGGAACUGAGACACGGUCCAGACUCCUACGGGAGGCAGCAGCUAAGAAUCUUCCGCAACGGGGGAAACCCUGACGGAGCGACGCCGCGUGGAUGAUGAAGGCCGUAAGGUUGUAAAAUCCUUUUAUCGGUGAAGAAUAAGGAGGGGAGUGGAAAGCCCUUCUGAUGACGUUAGCCGAUGAAUAAGCCCCGGCUAAUUACGUGCCAGCAGCCGCGGUAAUACGUAUGGGGCAAGCGUUGUUCGGAGUUAUUGGGCGUAAAGGGCGUGUAGGCGGCUCAUGAAGUCUGGUGUGAAAUCGCAAGGCUCAACCUUGCAUAUGCGCUGGAAACUGGUGGGCUUGAGUUCUUGAGGGGAAGCUGGAAUUCCAGGUGUAGGGGUGAAAUCUGUAGAUAUCUGGAAGAACACCGGUGGCGAAGGCGAGCUUCUAUCAGAGGACUGACGCUGAGGCGCGAAAGCGUGGGGAGCAAACAGGAUUAGAUACCCUGGUAGUCCACGCUGUAAACGAUGUGCACUAGGCGUGGGGCACGUACGUGCUCUGUGCCGUAGCUAACGUGUUAAGUGCACCGCCUGGGGAGUAUGCUCGCAAGGGUG
rnacentral:rRNA from 1 species